CCUACGUGAGUCUGCAGUGGGGAAUAUUGCACAAUGGGGGAAACCCUGAUGCAGCGACGCCGCGUGAGUGAAGAAGUAUCUCGGUACGUAAAGCUCUAUCAGCAGGGAAGAAAAUGACGGUACCUGACUAAGAAGCCCCGGCUAACUACGUGCCAGCAGCCGCGGUAAUACGUAGGGGGCAAGCGUUAUCCUGAUUGACGGGGUGUCAAGGGGGCGUAGACGGCAGCACAAGUCUGGAGUGAAAUCCCGGGGCUUAACCCCGGAACUGCUUUGGAAACUGUGCGGCUGGAGUGCAGGAGGGGUAAGCGGAAGUCCUAGUGGAGCGGUGAAAGGCGGAGAUAUUAGGAGGAACACCGGUGGCGAAGGCGGCUUACUGGACUGUAACUGACGUUGAGGCUCGAAAGCGUGGGGAGCAAACAGGAUUAGAUACCCUUGUAGUC
rnacentral:rRNA from 1 species